AGAGUUUGAUCCUGGCUCAGGAUGAACGCUAGCUACAGGCUUAACACAUGCAAGUCGAGGGGAAACGACAUCGAAAGCUUGCUUUUGAUGGGCGUCGACCGGCGCACGGGUGAGUAACGCGUAUCCAACCUGCCCAUCACUUGGGGAUAACCUUGCGAAAGUAAGACUAAUACCCAAUGAUAUCUCUAGAAGACAUCUGAAAGAGAUUAAAGAUUUAUCGGUGAUGGAUGGGGAUGCGUCUGAUUAGCUUGUUGGCGGGGUAACGGCCCACCAAGGCGACGAUCAGUAGGGGUUCUGAGAGGAAGGUCCCCCACAUUGGAACUGAGACACGGUCCAAACUCCUACGGGAGGCAGCAGUGAGGAAUAUUGGUCAAUGGGCGAGAGCCUGAACCAGCCAAGUAGCGUGCAGGAUGACGGCCCUAUGGGUUGUAAACUGCUUUUAUAAGGGAAUAAAGUGAGUCUCGUGAGACUUUUUGCAUGUACCUUAUGAAUAAGGACCGGCUAAUUCCGUGCCAGCAGCCGCGGUAAUACGGAAGGUCCGGGCGUUAUCCGGAUUUAUUGGGUUUAAAGGGAGCGUAGGCCGGAGAUUAAGCGUGUUGUGAAAUGUAGACGCUCAACGUCUGCACUGCAGCGCGAACUGGUUUCCUUGAGUACGCACAAAGUGGGCGGAAUUCGUGGUGUAGCGGUGAAAUGCUUAGAUAUCACGAAGAACUCCGAUUGCGAAGGCAGCUCACUGGAGCGCAACUGACGCUGAAGCUCGAAAGUGCGGGUAUCGAACAGGAUUAGAUACCCUGGUAGUCCGCACGGUAAACGAUGGAUGCCCGCUGUUGGUCUGAAUAGGUCAGCGGCCAAGCGAAAGCAUUAAGCAUCCCACCUGGGGAGUACGCCGGCAACGGUGAAACUCAAAGGAAUUGACGGGGGCCCGCACAAGCGGAGGAACAUGU
rnacentral:rRNA from 1 species